UACUACGGAGGGGUUGGGAUGGAAGAGUCAUCGCUACAUUUAUCUACGAUCCGUGAGUGUGAUAUCUCAUCUGACUCGAUUUCCUUUUGUUUUCUCAGUUAUCAUCGUCACUAUUGUGACUUGUGAGUGGGUAAAUACAGAUCAUCAAGGCAUCAUAUAAGACAACCUUCUUUGGUCAUACCUGAAUAUUAUCUUUUUCCAAGCCCGUUUUUCUUGUCAUCCCAGUGGGAAGAUUCUAGAUCCAUCAAUUAACAAAGUCCUGAGUACUUUAUAAACUGUACAACUUGCAUACGUGAUAAGCCAAGACUAAACUAAUAACAUGGACGGCAUGUCCGGCGUGUUCUCAUGGAAUCUAGAGGAGGUAGGUAACCAGAUCACAUCGCAAGCUAAUUAGCAUAAUAAAGAUAGUAGACCUGUAAGCAGGUCCUGAUGAAUACUCGGUGCCACUAAGCAGCCUAGCAGCUUAGCAGUUGGCAUUCAGUACCAAUAAGCAUCCCUUGCAAGUUAGUGGCCACAUCGGAACAGGGUGGCCACAUCACAAUACUAUUAUUUGGCGGCCGCAAGGUGCCCCCGAACUGUUGAUGAGAUGCAAGAAAGUAGGGACUGCUCUUUGACUUCCAACCAUUCCUCUGGAUCUGCAUCCAUUGGUUUCCAACGCUGUGUAACACUCGGCUUCUGUAUCGGUUCUCCUCCGUAACUGCUGAGCUUUCGUGAUCGGUGUGAUAAUCCUGUCUAUUUGUUAGACUGCGUAGCAAAGAGGUUCGAUUGGGAUGGAACAAUACGUAUGAAUAUACCCCGCUCUCCUUCAGCACUCUAAUCAACAUACCUUAUUCAGUGAGGCUUUCUUUUGUUGACUGGCUGUUACCUAUUCUGUGCACCAGCCUAUUCCAGCAGUUACUUUUGACCCCCUGGGCUAGGUCCAUCGUGAUUUUAAAGUGGCAAUGGGUUAAUCAGGAUCUAAGUGGCGAAGGGUUGAUCAAUGGAGCAACCUGCUUCUGCCAGAUGAUUGCUAUUGACUCUUGUCAUCCAAUGUUUAUUUCGUUUUGAAAGAUU